UGUGUUAAACACAAAAUUCAGAGAAACUGGAAAAUGUGAAUAUUUAAGUUCAAAAAAAAUUAUUUUAGCUAACUUUCCUUUUUCUUCAUGUUUAUUUUACUGAAAAGACCCUCCUUCACUGUUUUCCCUUCCAGUCAGCUCCAGGAAGCAGGCACUGAGGCCCUUUUAACCCACCAGCAAGGACCUCUCCAGAGCUUUCCAAAUGCAAGAGUUACAAAAUCAGUUGCCAACUUUUAAAAGCCAGACAAAUCUCACAUUUAAAAUAUCGAAGUAUUUGUUUCCUCUUGGCGAGCUGUUGAAUUUGGCAGCUGCAGGCUCCCCAUCUCACGCAGGGCACAGACUCUCCGAGUCACCAGGACCUUCUAGGGCCUCACACCUCCUCUCCCUUGUCAGCCUGCCUAACUUCUGUGGAACGAUCACUUCCAUAGACAGCCGAGUCACAGCCUGCAGAUAAUGCUCAUCCUUCCAAGUGGUCCAUGAGUCCCACCCUGUGCUCCCGUUCAGUCUGCACUACCUGAAUGAGGCUGCCAUUCCCACAAGCGACUAUAUCUGAGUGUCCACUCCAACGUCCACUUGGUGCCCCCAUACCAAGGAGGCCCCAGGCACCAGGGACUCAGAGAUGACACAACAGCCCCACCCUCACUGUGUGGUGGAGAAGACGCUCACCUGCCUGUGGUCCCUGAUUCUCAGUUUUAAGGGCCACGUGGAGUCCCACAGCCUGUGUGUCUAAUUUCCAACGUUCCCCUUUCUCGUGUGGUAUAGCUACACUUUGCUUUACUCUGAAUGUUAUCUACUUCUAUGGCUCCACCUUGAUUGUAUUUUAUUUACACCACUUCUUUGUAUAAGAAAGUAGAACAUCAAUAAAUAAAAUGCAAACAGACACUUCCAACACAGCUCCAUCGCUGCUGUGAUGCUGUGAUGAACGUAUGCCCAGAGGGAUUUAGAAGCACUGGGGCCUGGACCGGACUCAGGCUGGGGAUAAGUGCAUGAUCUCCCAGACGGUUUGAUUUAAAUGAAAAAUCUGUAUAAAGGGCCAGAUCCUGAUGAAAACCUGCUGUGUGUCAGUAGCUGCCAGCAUUUCUGGGUGGGUAAUAAAUAAGGUCAAGGUGGGCAGAUGGCAGAAUUGGAGACUGCGCGUGGGCAGAUGUGUGACCACGAUGGGCCUGAAUCCCACUGCUAGAGAAUGUAGAUGCCACCCAGGGUUGAGGGGAGCCCUGAAAAGACGCAGAGGAGAAGAGGGAAGUCAUCAGAUUGGUUCUUGGAAAGAUCCGUGGUGUGAAAGGUGAAAGGAAGAAAGUCAUUCGGAAGGAGAGAGCAACUAAUCAAAAUUACAAAACUCGCUUCAAAAUUCAUGGCAUACUUCCAUGCCAGGUAAUCACAGGCUAGGUAAUUAGGACAAGUGCCCACCUCACCCUGAGGAACAGACUCUGGGAUCCUCGGGCGUGCACACCAAGGGAGCUGCACUGAGUGUGUCUGCAGUGGUGUCGCUGCCAUCAGCUCCCAACUAGCAUCCGCCAAGUGUCCCCAAGUGAACAACGGGAAAAGCAUGCUCUAUGCAGGUCAUGGAACACUACACAGCACCGAACUGGGUGAGCACCAUGGAUGAAUCUCAACUCACAUCAGGAAAUGCAAAAGCAACAUAAGACAAAAAUCAAGGAAUAGAAGAACACGCUGCUCACUAACAGGCAAGUCCCAGCUCCAUUGUUUGGAGCUGCAGGUAUGGGUGGUAAAACUAAGGAGAAGACAAGGAAGUGGUCCCUACAACGAGCCCAGUGGUUGUCCCUAGAAGGAGGAAGGGGACGUCACCCAAAGGAGACAACUCAGGGGCUUCUGGAAGGCUAGAAUGUUCCUUUCCUUCACCUGAACACUGGUUACCUGGUUGAUUUUGAUGUUCUAUAUAUUGGAGUUUUAUGACAUUUCACAAUUAUUAUAAGUGAUUUUUAAGUAGGGUGGGAAGACGUGGUGGGGACCUGGACUAAGGUAGUGGUAGUGACAGCUUUACGAGGGAGGGUCAGAUAACGGAUGGGAGUGAAAGCCAGGAGCCAGUAGCACCGGGCUGACCCUUAGGUGUGGUGUGGGACAGGGGGUGGGAUGCAGCGCCACUCACAACACGGAUUCCAGGAGGAAGCGGUCUGUGGGCUUGUGAGAGUGGAGAGACCAAGUUAAGUUUUCAACUCGUUUAAAUUGAGAUGCCUGGGGCCACUAAGAAAUUGGAUACUGGGCCAGGGCUCAAAAUACAGCUCUGGUUUCAGAUUUGAGAAUCAUCAGCGUCAGCAAUUAGAUUAGGAUGUCAAGUAACGCAAAUGCUUAAAAUUGUGUGUGGGGGUAGAUUUAGUAAAAAAUGAAACAUAAAGAAGGGCUUCGGAGAACUCCCGGGGUCUAAAUUAGUCUUAGUGGAAUGGUGGGGACAGAAGCUGUAGAUCGGAGAGCUAGAAAGAAAGGAUAAAACGGAAAGAGGAAAGCAAGGAGAGUGGGCUGCUUUUGAAGAAGGGUUAUUGAGGGAGAGAGGGGGCUCCCGGGGUCUACGGAGCGUCUCGCGUUCUCAGGGGGUUUCCUUCUGGUUUGUUUGUCGCCAAGGUAGACGCUGAUCCUGUUAGCAGAGAAGGUACUGAUGCAGCACAGUCCUGAGGGGGCCAGAAAAGAUGGGGACGCACAGCCACUGCUGGGACCAUCUUGACGAGGAAGAGAAGGGCCCUCCCACUGCCAAAGGAGAGCCCUCCAACGGUGGACGCCAGAGCAGGAAAUGGAGUCUCUCACAGCUCUGAUUGAUUCUAGACUGUGAUAAAAGCACGGAACUUAGAAGUGCCGGGAGGUAAACAAUCAUGCAUUGCGUGUAUACUGCAAAUGAAAAAUGAAACAGCUACAGUGGAUGGGCUCAUAACAGCCUUCCCCUCAACCAGUCAUUUGGAUAACUGCAGACUCCCCACUGUGCCUGCAUUCUUGUGUUCCAACCGCUGGGAAGUUGACAUGCACCCAAACUGUGUGGCUCCCACAUGCACGAAUUAGAGCCAAAUGGUUCGCUUAACGUGGAGGAUGUCGGUUCAGAGGUGUAGUGGGUGCCAGGAAGGGCCUCAGUCACAGCUAGAAACUCCUGCCAACUGAUGACAGCAGACAAGCUGGCAGCCAAGUCACACCGAAAGCCCUGAUGGUCCCAGGACGACAUUCUCCAGGACUUGCCGCCUCCUUGCAUGCCUCUGGUGGUGUCUCGAGAACACUUCUCCAAACGGAGGGCACGUCUGAACACACACAGCUUGCAUCUGUGGAGGACUCUUCUAAGACGGGACCCAGUCUGGCCGUGUCUCCACCACGCCCUCCAUUGAGGCUUACCAAGGGUCAGCUGUGUUUUUGCCAAACUUGUUUAUGCCACUUCUGCUUGUUCUUUUUGUGACUUCAGAUAAGCCAAUCUUAAUGAUUACGCACGAUUGAGUACGUACUGUGUGCCGGGCACAGCAAGACUCAUUGAAUGUUCAUAACAUUACUAUCAUCUAAGUACUCUUAUCACUUUGGGUUUUUAUCGUACGUAACACAGACAGAUUAAGUGACAUGCCCAAAUUCACAGGGGUGCCAGAUUUAAAACCCAAGCAGCCUGGUUCUCAGUUGUCCCUCUUAAACACUAGGGAGAAAAGAGUCAGAAUACUUGGCCUGUGAUGCCUUUUUCUGUCAAUUCCUGGGGGUGAAGGAAUGUCCCUGGAGGAAAGAAAACAAGGCAUGCUACUGGACUUUCGGGCAAACAGACUAGAGUGUUUGCUUGGAGAAGAAUCCCCGUGGAUGGAACAUGGUGAACAAGAUGCCCACGGAUUACAGCUGCUCGUGUAAACAGUUUACUGUUAUGGGGAGACGUCACCGCAGGGAUCGGACGCUGUAGAGCCUCAGAUGGAGUUGGUUUAUCACUUACACGACCCCUGCCAUGUGCUCAGAUCUGUUUUGCUUUUCAGCAGCUUCCUGCUAUUUGUCUUAGUCUUCUUCCCUUGCAGCUUGACAGUUCAGGAAAUGCUUCACCUCGCUGUUCUCCUCCCACCCACACUGCUCCCUCCGCAAAUCCCCGCUGCCCCGGGAGGCCUGACCUCCAACGCUUCAGUCUCUGGUCUGCGAGGUGUCUCAGCUCCCUGCUGGCCUCUCAGCCUCUCUCUCCACGCCAGAAACUGGAAGAUGCUCCAAGACAAGGAGCAGUGGGUGGAAAAUUGCCUCACUUCACUGCAUUUCUCUUCUCUCCAGGAUUUGGACUCAUACAAUAUGGUUCCUCGGGGUGCCUUUAUGACUCCCCAGUGCAUUUCAAAAGACUUACAUUUUAUCUUGCUUUUUCAGUUGCUCUUAGCAAGAACAGUGGUCUGCUGCAAACUGUCCCAUCGUAUCCAGAAGCAGAACUCCUAUAUUUCAAUUUUGAAAAGGAAAAAAGAAAAGAAAUGCCUUAUAACUACUGUGAUAUUUCUGCACACAUGAUCGGUUCCACUCCUGCAAACAUAUUUAAUUUUCACUUUGAGAUUUUUGUUGGUAGAGAGUUGUUGCUUGUGUUUUGAAAAACUGAUGUUAUCUCAUUGUGCAUAAAAAUAGAUAAUUACUAUAAAGGACCUUAAAUCGGUAGGCUAAAAGGGAAUUUGGAAAAUUUAAUAAAAUUUUCUAUUUUCAAGA